GGAAGUAAAAGUCGUAACAAGGUUUCCGUAGGUGAACCUGCGGAAGGAUCAUUAUUGAAUGAAACACUUCUGGCUUUAUGCUGUUGUGCUGGCCCUUUGGGCAAUGUGCACACGGCUCUGGUCACUUGUUUCUUCUGUUCCGCCUGUGCACUGCCUGUAGACGCGCUGUGUCUAUGAUAUUUGUUAACACACAACAAUGUUAGUUGGCAUGUUAUAUAUAAUAAUAAAAUAUACAACUUUCAACAACGGAUCUCUUGGCUCUC
rnacentral:misc_RNA from 1 species